UACAGAGGUCUCAAGCGUUGUUCGGAUUCAUUGGGCGUAAAGGGUGCGUAGGCGGCGCGGUAAGUCGGGUGUGAAAUCUUGGAGCUUAACUCCGAAACUGCAUUCGAUACUGCCGUGCUUGAGGACUGGAGAGGAGACUGGAAUUUACGGUGUAGCGGUGAAAUGCGUAGAUAUCGUAAGGAAGACCAGUGGCGAAGGCGGGUCUCUGGACAGUUCCUGACGCUGAGGCACGAAGCCAGGGGAGCAAACGGG
rnacentral:rRNA from 1 species